rnacentral:rRNA from 1 species
GGAGGGUGCGAGCGUUAAUCGGAAUUACUGGGCGUAAAGGGUGCGUAGGUGGCCUUAUAAGUCAGAUGUGAAAGCCCUGGGCUUAACCUGGGAACUGCAUUUGAAACUAUGAGGCUAGAGUUUGGUAGAGGGAAGUGGAAUUUCCGGUGUAGCGGUGAAAUGCGUAGAUAUCGGAAGGAACACCAGUGGCGAAGGCGACUUCCUGGGCCACAACUGACACUGAGGCACGAAAGCGUGGGGAGCGAACAGGGAUUAGAUACCCUGGUAGUCCACGCUGUAAACGAUGAGUACUAGAUGUUAGGGAGCUUAGACUCUUUAGUAUUGUAGCUAACGCGCUAAGUACUCCGCCUGGGGACUACGGCCGCAAGGUUA